rnacentral:rRNA from 1 species
GAACGCUAGCGACAGGCCUAACACAUGCAAGUCGAGGGGCAACAUGGUAUCAGCUUGCUGAUACUGAUGGCGACCGGCGCACGGGUGAGUAACACGUAUCCAACCUGCCGUCUACUCUUGGACAGCCUUCUGAAAGGAAGAUUAAUACAAGAUGGCAUCAUGAGUCCGCAUGUUCACAUGAUUAAAGGUAUUCCGGUAGACGAUGGGGAUGCGUUCCAUUAGAUAGUAGGCGGGGUAACGGCCCACCUAGUCUUCGAUGGAUAGGGGUUCUGAGAGGAAGAUCCCCCACAUUGGAACUGAGACACGGUCCAAACUCCUACGGGAGGCAGCAGUGAGGAAUAUUGGUCAAUGGGCGAGAGCCUGAACCAGCCAAGUAGCGUGAAGGAUGACUGCCCUAUGGGUUGUAAACUUCUUUUAUAAAGGAAUAAAGUCGGGUAUGCAUACCCGUUUGCAUGUACUUUAUGAAUAAGGAUCGGCUAACUCCGUGCCAGCAGCCGCGGUAAUACGGAGGAUCCGAGCGUUAUCCGGAUUUAUUGGGUUUAAAGGGAGCGUAGAUGGAUGUUUAAGUCAGUUGUGAAAGUUUGCGGCUCAACCGUAAAAUUGCAGUUGAUACUGGAUAUCUUGAGUGCAGUUGAGGCAGGCGGAAUUCGUGGUGUAGCGGUGAAAUGCUUAGAUAUCACGAAGAACUCCGAUUGCGGAGGCAGCCUGCUAAGCUGCAACUGACAUUGAGGCUCGAAAGUGUGGGUAUCAAACAGGAUUAGAUACCCUGGUAGUCCACACGGUAAACGAUGAAUACUCGCUGUUUGCGAUAUACGGCAAGCGGCCAAGCAAAAGCGUUAAGUAUUCCACCUGGGGAGUACGCCGGCAACGGUGAAACUCAAAGGAAUUGACGGGGGCCCGCACAAGCGGAGGAACAUGUGGUUUAAUUCGAUGAUACGCGAGGAACCUUACCCGGGCUUAAAUUGCAGAUGAAUUACGGUGAAAGCCGUAAGCCGCAAGGCAUCUGUGAAGGUGCUGCAUGGUUGUCGUCAGCUCGUGCCGUGAGGUGUCGGCUUAAGUGCCAUAACGAGCGCAACCCUUGUUGUCAGUUACUAACAGGUUCCGCUGAGGACUCUGACAAGACUGCCAUCGUAAGAUGUGAGGAAGGUGGGGAUGACGUCAAAUCAGCACGGCCCUUACGUCCGGGGCUACACACGUGUCACAAUGGGGGGUACAGAGGGCCGCUACCACGCGAGUGGAUGCCAAUCCCCAAAACCUCUCUCAGUUCGGACUGGAGUCUGCAACCCGACUCCACGAAGCUGGAUUCGCUAGUAAUCGCGCAUCAGCCACGGCGCGGUGAAUACGUUCCCGGGCCUUGUACACACCGCCCGUCAAGCCAUGGGAGCCGGGGGUACCUGAAGUGCGUAACCGCGAGGAGCGCCCUAGGGUAAAACUGGUGACUGGGGCUAAG